rnacentral:tRNA from 2 species
GCCACCGUAGCUCAGUUGGUAGAGCAGUUCAUUCGUAACGAACAGGUCGCUGGUUCGAACCCAGUCGGUGGCU